rnacentral:rRNA from 1 species
GUCCUUUUGUUAAUAAUUUAAGGUCUAGCCUGCCCACUGAAGUAUUAAAUGGCCGUGGUAUUUUGACCGUGCUAAGGUAGCAUAAUCAUUAGUUUUUUAAUUAAGAACUGGAAUGAAAGGUUGGAUAAGAAAAUAACUGUCUCUAUUAAAUUUAAUUAAAAUUUUAUUUUUAAGUUAAAAAGCUUAAUUAAUAUUAAAAGACGAGAAGACCCUAUAGAGUUUAAUUAUUAAAUAAAAAUAAUAUUUUAGUAUUUAUUUAUUUAUUUUAUUAAAUAAUUUAAUUGGGGUGAUUGAAAAAUUAAAUUAACUUUUUUUAUUUUGAAACAUAAAUUUAUGAUUUAAUGAUCCAAUAUUUUUGAUUAUAAGAUAAAAUUACCUUAGGGAUAACAGCGUAAUUUUUUUAGAAAGUUCUUAUUAAAAAAAAAGAUUGCGACCUCGAUGUUGGAUUAAAAUAAAUUUUUGGUGUAGAAGCUAAAAUAUUAGGUCUGUUCGACCUUUAAAAUUUUAC